rnacentral:rRNA from 1 species
UGCGUAGGUGGUAUGGCAAGUCAGAAGUGAAAACCCAGGACUUAACUCUGGGACUGCUUUUGAAGCUGUCAGACUGGAGUGCAGGAGAGGUAAGCGGAAUUCCUAGUGUAGCGGUGAAAUGCGUAGAUAUUAGGAGGAACAUCAGUGGCGAAGGCGGCUUACUGGACUGAAACUGACACUGAGGCACGAAAGCGUGGGAGCAAACG